CCGUCACGCCAUGGGAGUGGGUUGCAAACGAAGUAGGUAGCUUAACCUUCGGGAGGGCGCUUACCACUUUGUGAUUCAUGACUGGGGUGAAGUCGUAACAAGGUAACCCUAGGGUAAGCUGCGGCUGGAUCACCUCCUUA
rnacentral:rRNA from 1 species